rnacentral:ncRNA from 1 species
GUUAUGGUUAUGAAGGGGAAUAUGGGCAGGUGUAGUCUUUAGCGAUCCGGGGAUGGUGAAAGCCUGGUAGGCGAAGUUGCCCGUGCCGCCCCGGAGCUGCAGGACUAAAACCCAAGGGGUAGUAAGCUCUGCCGGAAGCCCCCGUUAACGGGCGCUGAAGAGGGCCGUAUGUAUUAUGGCCAAUUUGGGUGGUACCGCGAGAAGAAUCUCUCGUCCCUUAU